GCCGAUGUAGCUCAGCUGGUAGAGCAAUUGCUUCGUAAGCAGUGGGGCAGAGGUUCAAGUCCUCUCAUCGGCC
rnacentral:tRNA from 1 species